GACGAACGCUGGCGGCGUGCCUAAUACAUGCAAGUAGAACGCUGAAGAGAGGAGCUUGCUCUUCUUGGAUGAGUUGCGAACGGGUGAGUAACGCGUAGGUAACCUGCCUUGUAGCGGGGGAUAACUAUUGGAAACGAUAGCUAAUACCGCAUAACAAUGGAUGACACAUGUCAUUUAUUUGAAAGGGGCAAUUGCUCCACUACAAGAUGGACCUGCGUUGUAUUAGCUAGUAGGUGAGGUAACGGCUCACCUAGGCGACGAUACAUAGCCGACCUGAGAGGGUGAUCGGCCACACUGGGACUGAGACACGGCCCAGACUCCUACGGGAGGCAGCAGUAGGGAAUCUUCGGCAAUGGGGGCAACCCUGACCGAGCAACGCCGCGUGAGUGAGGAAGGUUUUCGGAUCGUAAAGCUCUGUUGUAAGUCAAGAACGAGUGUGAGAGUGGAAAGUUCACACUGUGACGGUAGCUUACCAGAAAGGGACGGCUAACUACGUG
rnacentral:rRNA from 1 species